AACGAACGCUGGCGGCAUGCCUAACACAUGCAAGUCGAACGAGACCUUCGGGUCUAGUGGCGCACGGGUGCGUAACGCGUGGGAACCUGCCCUUAGGUUCGGAAUAACUCCCCUUAAGGGGUGCUAAUACCGGAUAAUGUCUUCGGACCAAAGAUUUAUCGCCUUUGGAUGGGCCCGCGUUGGAUUAGCUGGUUGGUAGUGUAAAAGCCUACCAAGGCGACGAUCCAUAGCUGGUCUGAGAGGAGGAUCAGCCACACUGGGACUGAGACACGGCCCAGAAUCCUACGGGAGGCAGCAGAGGGGAAUAUUGGACAAUGGGCGAAAGCCUGAUCCAGCAAUGCCGCGUGAGUGAUGAAGGCGUUAGGGUUGUAAAGCUCUUUUACCCGGGAUGAUAAUGACAGUACCGGGAGAAUAAGCACCGGCUAACUCCGUG
rnacentral:rRNA from 1 species